rnacentral:RNase_P_RNA from 1 species
UGAGGAAAGUCCGGGCUCCACAGGGCAAGGAUAACGGGUAACGCCCGCCGAAGGCGACUUCAGGAAAAGUGCAACAGAGAUAUACCGCCUCGUCCCGUUCCAACGGGCCCCCGCCGGAGCCCAGCGCGGUACGCGCGGGUCCGGCGGGGAGAGGAGGCGCAGUGAAACGAGCGAGGCCUGACGCUUGCGUCAGGCCAAGGGAUGUGAAACUCGCGCCGACGACGAGGUAAGGGUGGAAAGGCGAGGUAAGAGCUCACCCAUCGGCUGGAGACUGUCCGAUGCUGUAAACUCUAUCCGGAGCAACACCGUGGGAGGACACAUGGCCGGCCCGGCCGUCCUCAGGAGGUGGCUGGAGCGGUCCGGCAACGGGCCGCCAAGAUAGAUGACUGCCAAAUACAGAACCCGGCUUACAGUUUUGCUCG